CACGAAUUUCUUUUUAAAAGAAACAAGAACACUAUUUUCAUAAUUGUCUUCCAGUGUAAAAAACUUCACAGACUGAUUUACCUUAUUAAAAGGAAAUGA